UGCGUCUCAGCGAAACUACCUGCCACAAAUUAUAUAUAUGUAUAUAUAUAUAAUCCACCUUGAGAAACCUCAUUUUAGUUGCUUGCAAACCCAUAAAUUAAAUCCAAAAAUAAAAAGUAUGGAAACUCUUAAAUUCGGCAGUGAUUUUGUAAGAAUUAACGAAAACAAAGCAGAAUUUAAGCCAGAAAUACUAAUCAUCCUCAAUUAACUAGAGCACACCCUUAAUUAAUCCAAACCCACCAGAAAGAGUAAUAUCAUGAAACGGAUCAAAACAGAAACCUCAAAAACUUGAGAAAGCGAGAGAAAGAGAGGGACCUGGAGA
rnacentral:misc_RNA from 1 species